rnacentral:sRNA from 1 species
UCUAUUACAGCCUGGACGGUGCGAUCGA